rnacentral:lncRNA from 1 species
AAUUGAACAUGAUGAAAUCUUUUGCCUAUUUCCAAACAGAGGUAAAGACAACCCUCCAUGAUUUCAGUAUCUGUACAUGAGUAAUGAUUCCAUACUGCCAUCACUGCGAGUACUGAAGAUCCAGAGCGCUCAUAUAGUGCAAGACAACAGUGCAAGUUCCAAUAAAAAAUAAAAAAAUAUUAAUCCGUCUAAUUUAGUCCUUUUCGAGAAGAACUCGGUCGAAUUUAGUCCUUCAAAAAGCUGUAUGACCAGAUAAACAAUUAUAUCAGCGAAACUAGUGCGAAAAUCAAAGAGCAAAACAUGUGACCAGACACGCGAAUCUGAUCGUACCAACACGGGCCUGUUUCCUCGAGGUUCUAGGGUUACGCCGCGACGACGCGGGCGACGGUACGCGCAAACCCUAGCUCGAAUUCCCCGCAACCGAACCGCGGAAAUUUCACCGUAGCACGUCAGAUCCGGCCGAAGCGGGGAACGCUGGUAAGGGUACGGGUACGGGGUCGGGGAGGCGGCGGCGGACGGCGAGGCCGGGCAACCGCGGGGGGAGGGUGGGUACGGGGCGGUGAGGAGGCGGUGAGGAGGCGGGAGGGGAGGCGAGGGGAGGGGAGCGGUAC